GUGGGAAAGAAAAAGAGAGAGAAAAAAAAUAUUAUUUUAUUCUCACGAUUUCGCAGAGGAUUCAAGGGAGAAGCUGUGGUAGGAAUUAAGGAUGCAGAACAUUGAAGAUAUCUUGAUAUACCCAUUGAUUGAGGUUCGUGUGAUUGAAGUGGUGGAGUUGGGUAUUUGGAGUUAGCUUUGGAAUAUUAUUUUAGUUGUUGAGAUUCUAAGGAGUAGAGCUAUGCGGGUUUUGCUUGUGGGA